rnacentral:rRNA from 1 species
UACAGAGUUGGCAAGCGUUGUUCGGAAUUACUGGGCGUAAAGGGCGCGUAGGCGGCCAUCUAAGUCAGACGUGAAAUCCCCCGGCUUAACCUGGGAACUGCGUCUGAUACUGGAAGGCUCGAGUUUGGGAGAGGGAUGUGGAAUUCCAGGUGUAGCGGUGAAAUGCGUAGAUAUCUGGAGGAACACCGGUGGCGAAGGCGGCAUCCUGGACCAACACUGACGCUGAGGCGCGAAAGCUAGGGGAGCAAACGGG